rnacentral:tRNA from 1 species
GUCGCAGUGGCGAAAUGGCAGACGCGCCAGCUUGAGGGGCUGGUGCCCGCAAGGGCGUGGAAGUUCGAGUCUUCUCUGCGACAC